GGCUUUCUAUGUCAUAGUUCGUGAUAAUGAAUCCAAUUUUUGCAGAGAGGUGUGUCUUUUAAUGCCCAACAAUAUUGCCAAAGGGGUUUACAAUUUCUUAUUAGAAUUUUUUUUUUAUUUUCCAAACUCCAAAAAUGUUGUAUUUUGUGAAGCAAGUACUUUUAAUAUGGUUCAAAAUUGUGCCCAAUUUUCACGCGAAAUGGAUCAUACGUAUAAACUUAUAAACCAAUUCAAUUAUAAUCCAAAAUUCAAUUAUAGAUACUAAAAAUAAAAUGAAUUUGAAACCUUCCAAUGGAGGGUCAGAUCAAUGACUUGGCAGAUCUGUGUUUCUUUCUCGUGAAUCGUUUUGGCCACUCGAUCCCCUCCUUUAUUCUCUUUCCCCUCCCAAACUCCCUCCCCUCCUCUCCCUCCCCACCGAGAGUUCUUCUCUCCUUCUCUCCCUCCACAUCGAGCUCUUCUCUCCUUCUCUCCCUCCACAUCGAGCUCUUCUCUCCUUCUCUCCCUCCACAUCGAGCUCUUCUCUCCUUCUCUCCCUCCACAUCGAGCUCUUCUCUCCUUCUCUCCCUCCACAUCG
rnacentral:lncRNA from 1 species